rnacentral:tRNA from 1 species
UCCCAGGUGGCUCAGUGGGUAAAGAACCUGCCUGCAAUGCAGGAGAUACGGGUUCAAUUCCUGGGUUGGGUA